GGGGAAUAACUGUUGGAAACGACAGCUAAUACCGCAUAAUAUUGCUGGAUAAUUUCCAGUAAUGAAAGGAGCUUUCAAGCUCCGCUGAUUGAUGAGGAUGCGGCGCAUUAGCUAGUUGGUAGGGUAAUGGCCUACCAAGGCAAUGAUGCGUAGCCGAUCUGAGAGGAUGAACGGCCACAUUGGGACUGAGACACGGCCCAAACUUCUACGGAAGGCAGCAGUAGGGAAUUUUUCACAAUGGGCGAAAGCCUGAUGGAGCAAUGCCGCGUGACUGAUGAAGGUCUUCGGAUUGUAAAGGUCUGUUGUAAGGGAAGAAAUGGUAAAACAGGAAAUGGUUUUAUCUAUGACGGUACCUUACCAGAAAGCCACGGCUAACUAUGUGCCAGCAGCCGCGGUAAUACAUAGGUGGCAAGCGUUAUCCGGAUUUAUUGGGCGUAAAGGGUGCGUAGACGGUUUUGCAAGUCUGANGUUAAAUUUAGGAGCUCAACUCCUAAUCGCCUUGGAAACUACAAGACUAGAGUAUANGAGAGGUUAGUGGAAUUCCAUGUGUAGCGGUGGAAUG
rnacentral:rRNA from 1 species